AUACGUAGGGGGCGAGCGUUGUCCGGAAUGAUUGGGCGUAAAGGGCGCGUAGGCGGCCCGGUAAGUCUGGAGUGAAAGUCCUGUUUUUAAGAUGGGAAUUGCUUUGGAUACUGUCGGGCUUGAGUGCGGGAGAGGGAAGUGGAAUUCCACGUGUAGCGGUGAAAUGCGUAGAGAUUGGGAGGAACACCAGUGGCGAAGGCGACUUACUGGACUGUAACUGACGCUGAGGCGCGAAAGUGUGGGGAGCAAACAGGAUUAGAUACCCUGGUAGUCCACACUGUAAACGAUGAAUGCUGGGUGUAGGGGGUAUCGACCCCUUCUGUGCCGCAGUCAACACAAUAAGCAUUCCGCCUGGGGAGUACGGCCGCAAGGUUGAAACUCAAAGGAAUUGGCGGGG
rnacentral:rRNA from 1 species